rnacentral:rRNA from 1 species
AUUGAACGCUGGCGUCAGGCCUAACACAUGCAAGUCGAACGAGUGGCAGAAGGGUGAGUAAUGUCUGUGAAACUGCCUGAUGGCGGGGGAUAACUACUGGAAACGGUAGCUAAUACCGCAUACCAUCAGAUGUGCCCAGAUGGGAUUAGCUAGUUGGUGGGGUAACGGCUCACCAAGUCGACGAUCCCUAGCUGGUCUGAGAGGAUGACCAGCCACACUGGAACGGAGACACGGUCCAGACUCCUACGGGAGGCAGCAGUGGUGAAUAGUGCACAAUGGGCGCAAGCCUGAUGCAGCCAUGCCGCGUGUAUGAAGAAGGCCUUCGGGUUGUAAAGUACUUUCAGCGGGGAGGCGUUACCCGCAGAAGAAGCACCGGCUAACUCCGGGCCAGCAGACGCGGUAAUAC